ensembl:lncRNA
CCCGCCUCUGCUUCUUAUCACAGCAAGCUCAUCGCCCUCUCAAAUGCCGGGUCCUCAGCCUGGGUGUAGCUCCAAGCACAGUAGCUCCCUGACUUUUCCAGGCUCUGUUCUGCCACAGGGCAGGCGAGGAGGCCCUUUCCGCAGCCCACCUGCCCACGUCGCAGGAGCAGAUGGCUGGAGCAUGCCCAGACUCACCUGCUCUUCUGCCUGCUGCUGCCACACGCCCGAUGCUCCAGCCAUGUGAGAUUCCAUGCUGUUCACUGUGCUCGAGUUCUCCCUGCAUCUUUCCAUCUUUCCCUCUCUUUGGAAAUAAACUCUAUCCUUCCCGGCCUGGAGAGAAAGCCUUCCACUUCAAGUCCUAGCUUAGACGUCAUCUCCUCCAGGAGGCCCUCUCUAGGUGUCUUGGUGGAUUUAAACCUCCCAUCGUUCUCCUGUCUGUCGUCUGAGAAAGGACUGGCAGAGUACUGGCGGUCUGUGUGUCUCCUGGAGGCCUCUGUUGUGGGGCCAGGGAGGUGGCAGGCACUUUGCCAGCGUGUCUUGCUCUGUCUCCACUUCCCAACUGGCUUCUGUGUGGAUGGCUCCUGCCCGCCGCCCUCUGUGACUGCUCAUUUGUCCUUUGAUGGUCAAGGCUGAGAGAAAGUCCCCCUUGGGCUC